AAUUUUGUUGGGGGAAGUAUUGAUAGACUCAAGAAGGUUUAUUAUCGAAAGAAGAGAGGCAAAGAAGUGUUGGACGUGGAAGAGAAGGAGAGUUGAGUAGUAUUGAAGAUUAAGAAUGAAGAAGUGAAGAGAAAACUUCUAUUUGAAGCGGAGUCUUUGCAGUUAUGGUUAUUGAGUGAAGAAUGGAAGUAUAAAUAGAAGUGGUAGUUGAGCUGAGCUGAUUAUGCUUUGAUCUUGAAUGUAUUAGAAGAUAUGAGUCUUUACUUCACAGUCGCUAUGAGACUGGUGAUUUGUACUUAGUUCAUUAUGAGAGCUUGAGUACUUAUCACAAUCAAAGUGUAUCUCUUUCAUUGAUUCAAUAA
rnacentral:lncRNA from 1 species